UACGGAGGGUGCAAGCGUUAUCCGGAUUCACUGGGUUUAAAGGGUGCGUAGGCGGGCAGGUAAGUCCGUGGUGAAAUCUCUGAGCUUAACUCAGAAACUGCCAUGGAUACUAUUUGUCUUGAAUAUUGUGGAGGUAAGCGGAAUAUGUCAUGGUAGCGGUGAAAUGCUUAGAUAUGACAUAGAACACCAAUUGCGAAGGCAGCUUACUACACAGUUAUUGACGCUGAGGCACGAAAGCGUGGGGAUCAAACAGG
rnacentral:rRNA from 1 species